UUUUUUAUAUUAUUCUGGAAAAGAGCUCCUUUGUAAAUAACGAACUUGGCCUUCAAGUCCGGAAAGGCGAGAUAAAGAGUGACGACAGAGAGCGACGAGACCCAGAGGGAGCUAUUCGUCCUCGUCCUCGUCCUCGUCCUCGUCCUACGAGGAGGAGAGAAGACCCAGUAGCAGAUUCCGGUCAUCGUCGUUCUCUUAAAUUAGGGCAAGAACCUGGUCCGAAGCUUUGUUUUUCCUCACUUCUUAAACCUCUCGUCCAAUUUCUUUUCUUUUUAUCAAGUCUCUCCCAGUGAUUUGCAUCUACUUGGUGAUCACGGUCUUCUUCUGGAUCUAUUGUGCUGUUAUCUUGGUAAAACAUUCCAGAUACUGGUUUUAUUGAGUAGGGUUUUUUUUUUUUUUUGGGCACAAAGAUCCUUCUGAGCUCCAGAAAAUAGCCUUGAAAGGUGAAAAAUGGCGCUAUAGUUAUCUUUUGCUAAUUUCUGGUUUUUCUGGAUCCACCCAAUCUGGAGCACCUUUUAUCUUUUCUUAACAAUAAAUUGAGUAAAUUGGAGGUCUCUAAAUUUCGUGGAUGAUCACCGUGUAGACGCGAAAACACUGCUUUAUCUCUUGCUUCGAUGCGAAUAGAGAGAAAAGUAUCGAAAGGUAUGAGAGAUACGGUUUUCUUUGCUUGAUUGCAAACAAGGAAGCAUCAAGAUCCCGUGUUUUUGCCCUCCGCUUCUUCCUAUUUCUUCGUUCAAUGGACUAUCAGUCUGUAGACGUAGAUUUAGAAUACAUUUCUUGUGUAUUAGAUUAUGAGUCACUCGUAGAACAUUUGUCUAUCUUUUGGAUCUUAGGAUAAACAUUCACAUCGAGCAUGUGUAACAUAUUUUAUGUCUAUCUUUUGGAUCAUGACACAGUUUAAACUUCAAGAUGCAUCGUACUAGAGAUACAUAGGUUAGAUGCAAGGUAUUCUUGUUGUUUCCCUGGUCUAGGAUUAUAUCGGUAAAUAUAAACCAGGAAAUCAUUCUAUUCUUGGGAGCAUAAUCAUGCAACUUCUUUCUUUCUGUUAUGAGUCAUUUAAAAGCUAUUUUAGGAUUUGAAAGUAGUUUGCCUAAAUUUUUCUUGCUCUGUUUUUGGUCAUGGUUCUAGGAUAUUGACAUGGGAGGAUGGCUAAUUUGACAAAAAGAAAAAAAAAAAAAGAAGAAGAAGAAAAGAAAUGCAGAUGCUACUAUGGAAUCUACUCAGCCUGAUGAAUGCCUGUGUGUUGUAUCUGGGACCAUUUCUUUCAGUUGGGUCAAGGAUGCUCACGGUGAAACACUGCAAGGAGUCCUAUUGAAGUAGCAGCUGCAAACGUACCAUUUCAUCAAAAUGGACUUGGAGAAGGGUCAUGGAGGAUUCAACAGUGGUGGUUCACAUCAUAAAUUUGUUUUGUACUCUUUCAUCAUAUCUCAGGAACUCACAGUUCCUUAGGCCCAUUGGUGUCUUGUUCAAUUUCUCUAUGUCUAUUAGCACCGCCUCUAUGGGGAAUAUUCUACCAUAUGCCAUGGAAAAUAUGAUGAGUUCCUUAAUCUGAACCAAUCUCAACGUUUGCCUCCUAUUGGGCCUCAUAUUCUACCAUCAUUCAUGAUUCAAGAUGAUGUCCAAUCAACACCAGAUGUUAUGGGCCAAGUAUUUGAUACAUAUACAAGACCACAUGCAAAGGAAAGUGUAGGGAAGGCAAUAUCUGAUAAUGUAUGGAUAGAUCCUACUUAAGAACCUAGUGUGUUGAAUUACUCAAAUAAGAUACUUGAGUUUGAUAUGUCCAAUUUCCCCCUCCUACAGGAAGAUAUAAAUGUAGAUUCACAACUAAAUGCCUUUGAUCAUGGAUUAACUUCUGCACAAUCUAUCAUGUCAGUCUUAUGUGAAAUAUUCACAAUGUGGUGGUUAUGAUCAUUGUAAUAUCAAAAAUAUGACUGAGGGAUUUGGAAAGGAGUUUGCUGGUAAGGUUGCAUGUGUACCAAAUGACACAGUUUUGAACUUUACCAUCUGAGCUGCGCAAAGUCCUUGGAAUGGAUUCUGUGAGAGGGUAUGAUAGCUGUAUAUCAAGCACCGCUCUAUCAAAAGCCGACGAGUUUACCAUGUUCCAAACAGAAGGAUCUGAAGUUCAUGAACCUUUGGUUAAUGCCUCGUUCAUGGCAGAAGGUGAUGCAGAGCAUCUGUUGGAUGCAGUGAUAGGCAAUGUAUAUCAUGCUUCAAGUGAUGAUGCAUGUGAGUUAUCCAGAUGUUUAAGCUCGUGUAGCAACCCUGCAGGAAAAUCUGUGGUCAUGUAAGCAGAAGCGAAGGAGGGGCCUUGGACUCAGUGAGUUGUCAAAAGCCACGCAUCUGUCUCCAAAAAUGAGUGUUUCACUUCUAUUUCUGAUUCUUCAUCCAAGAGCAUUUGUAGGUCCCUCAAUGACAAAAAGUAAGGCACCAUGGUUUACAGGCAUCGUGGCUCAAAAUCCAAUCCAGACUGAAAAAAAAGAAGGGGCAAAAGUAACAAAACUCACAGAUCAAAGCCAAGGGACAGACAGUAGCAAAACUCUAACGGAUCAUAUGUAAGUUGCAUUUAUCCCACUUCCUCCACAAUUCCAUGACCAAAUUAAUUGGAUUAGAGAUUUUUGUUGUAAUCCUUGGGAUAUUAUGACAUAAACAUAUCUGCACAUGUACUUAGAUUAUCAUCUUGUGAUGCGUUGUUGGAUGGAACUGCGAAGCACAUUUUAUUUCUGCGAAGCAUUUCCAGUCAAGGUGAAAAAUUGAAGAUGCCAUGCGAGGAAGAUGUACUUUCUGACAAAAGGCCCAUCUCAUCUGAAGCACGGAGCUAAACAUUCUAAAAGGAGUUUCGGACGGUCGAUCAAACAAGCUUCGGGCUCAUUUCAUUGUUAAGGUCGAAGAUAACACCAAUUCACCAUUCUAGAUUGAAGCAAGAAUAACAUGAAACUUGCUUUUUCAGGCUUCCAGGGCCUUUAAUCGAAUGCAAAUUCUCUGGCCGUUCAUGCAGCUGCUGCAACAAGAUUGCACAUCCAUUCCAAGCAAAAUCCGAUGAUUUGUCUGAUAAUGGUUGAUUGUCGAUCAAUCUUACCACAUCUAUCAGUAUGAACAUUUUGUUGAAGAGAUUUCAAGGUGUCAAGCUGUAAAAUUAACUCUUAUGCAGGAUUGCCUG